rnacentral:lncRNA from 1 species
GUUGUUUUCCGUUUUGUCUAUGUACCUGAUGGAACUGUUGGCUGUCGUUUUUGUUAUUUUGUCUAAGUGUUAUCAUUAAAAGGAAAUAUGAGCACUUUACACGCUGUGCCUUGGUCCCCUUUAUACGACCCACGUUACAAGAACAGAAGGCCCUCCAACAUGAGAAGAUGGGAGGUGGUCUGAGUUAAGAUGGCGAAUCCAUCGGCGAGAGCAGAUGGCGGGGCCUUGGUGUUCUCAGCAGUGUUUCCUGGAGCCGCGGUAAAUGCUGUUGAUCAGGGCCUUGGUGGCUGUCUGGUUCAGAGUUCUCCUGCUAGUUGGCCGUCGGUCCGUCCCCAUCGCUGGUCUUAACGUAAGCACCCUGGUCCCCUGUACUCCAUAUUUCAGCAAGAGAAUGGUGUCUAUUCCUUCACACUGAGGACAGUGCUUUCUUUGGACCCCGGUGAUGAGAGCCGUUUCCACUCACCUCAGCACUCCAGAGGUUGAUUUAAGAAGGGUCUCAGUGAAAGGUGCAUAGACUGGAGGGUUUAGGGGCCCGGGAGCUCAGAGUAAACUAGCUGUGAAAGGCCAGACAGUCUUAUGGUAGCAGUUCCUUUUCCUUGGGACUGGAGGAUGUAUAUAUAUUUUUCUUUUAACUAUAAAGGUGUGCAGCGCUUGUUCCAUUCCAACAUAAAUGCCAUGUUGUUGAAGUCAUUUCCUCACAUAAACUACAACUCUGUACAGGCUGAGUGUUACUAAUAGUAUAUACUCCAAAUUCGACUCAGCAAUCUUUGAAGUGAAAGUAGUAUUUUGAAGUGGGACUGAGGUCAGGUGCUGUUUGUGGAAGCGGUGGGAUUGGAUGAGGUAAUGUUGAGGCUAGCUUCUGGUGCGACUGUCUGUCACCGUGUAUAAGUGCCCUUGGAUUCAAUUUCGAUGGUAUUCUUAUUCAUAACUUUGUUGCUCCCAGUGAACCCCAAACCCAUGACCAAAAUAAUAACUGUUGUUCACGUUGAGGGACAGUGGAGAAUCGAUUAAGUUAUAUGGGCCAUGAGAGAAAUAUAGCCUGAUCCUCAGGACUGUAAAAGUGUUCACAUAAGCCCAGGAAGAGAGGACUGUGAGUUCCGGAGAAGAAAUGUAUUAUUCCUAUUGGCAUUAUUGUUUUAUUUUCACUGACUUUUUUGGGAACAAUACUCUGCUGUGCCUGAAUGAUUCAUGCUUCUGACCACUGGCAUUUAGCAACAACACUAAUAUGAUAUUCCUAUGGAGGAUGGACAAGGAGUUUUUGAUAUUACAGUUCGCUAGUAAUGUGGGAAACAUUCGUGAAAUACCUGGUACAGGGGCUGAAGCUUUGAUUGGGCGGAGGGAUGGACGAGGAAGAGAGGGGGCCGGUGGUGUAACUGCACUUAUAUGUGACCUGUAUGUGGAAAAGCGUUCUCUAGUGGGAAAGCUGUCUGGAGUUGAGGAAUGGGAUCCGACGAGAGUGUGCUCGGCUAGGGACAUGACAGAAGUGAAAUGGAAGGCGUCUGCUCCGUAAUGUCACACUGCUGAUGCUGACGACCACAGCUCCCAGACAGAAUGACAGAUUUUUUUUUUUGAGUAAUAGGAGGGCAGCGAGGCAGGCAUGUGAUAUAUCUCUGGGAGGAACGGAGUAGAAAUCAACAGCUGUCACUUUGACAUAAGAAUGUAAUAUUUAGAGAGGAUUAGGGGAAGCACCGUAGGGGUCUAUGGGUGGCUCUUUGCUAAUUUCCUGCCUAGUGAGUGAGAUUAUGAUGAACUAAUUAAUCACAGUAAUAAUCAAGCCCCUCAGCAGUCAGGGGAUUUAUCAACUAAUGGAAAAACAGCCCACUACAUAGCUGUGCUACUGGCUAUGAAGAUGUUUUUUCUAAACUCCCUGCUGUCUUCUGAGGACAUGCUGCUAGUGAUGCAACCAUGUUGGAUUUAUACUGGCUUCAUCUGAAAGGGGAUGGAAGGAGGUCCUUUUGAUAUAUUUGCUUUUGAUUUUAUAGGGGCUUUUUUGUGUAAUGGACAUUUGUUCAUAGAAGGUCUUAUAUAUCUUUAAAACAAUUACCAUUAAAGUACUCACCAAACACAAAUCAAAGUCCCUUAACUUCAUAUCCAGGUGCAGAAACUCUCAAGACAAAUAUGGUUAUCAUUGGCAAGGGUAAAAUAAAACAACAACAAAAAAUAGAAUGUUGUCCAUUUCCAACCAUCCAGCAGAAAGAAGAAUGAGAGUGAACGUAUGAUAAAGGAAUUUAUAUGUUUAAAGUAACGACUAAAGAAUUCCACCCUGAAAUGUAUAAGACUGUGAAAUGUAUUAGAAGUAUAAGACUAUAAUCCAAUAAUGUAUGUGUGAGACAAGUUAAGGGUGAGAAAAGUAUGGUUGAGAAAACAAAGGACAAUUGAACUACACAUGACCUGGUUGUAACUCUGAAAAACUGAUAACAGGAAAGAGGGCCUUUUCAAGGCCCCUCUAAUCUAGGGAGGCUUAGGCUGGUAGAAAAGUGCUAAACUGUAUGUGUGGGUGGGUG